rnacentral:snRNA from 1 species
UUGCUUGCUUCAGAGACUAACACCGGGAUGAUAUGGAGAAGAUUAGCAUGGCCUUGCACAAGGAUGACACAGAUUUGUGAAGCAUUCCAUUGAAAG